rnacentral:rRNA from 1 species
ACUCCUACGGGAGGCAGCAGUGGGGAAUAUUGCACAAUGGGGGAAACCCUGAUGCAGCCAUGCCGCGUGUGUGAAGAAGGCCUUCGGGUUGUAAAGCACUUUCAGUAGGGAGGAAGGUAGUGUAGUUAACACCUGCAUUAUUUGACGUUACCUACAGAAGAAGCACCGGCUAACUCCGUGCCAGCAGCCGCGGUAAUACGGAGGGUGCGAGCGUUAAUCGGAAUUACUGGGCGUAAAGCGCAUGCAGGCGGCCUGUUAAGUCAGAUGUGAAACGCCCGGGGUACUUAACCGUCGGAAUUGCAUUUGAAACUGGCAGGCUAGAGUCUUGUAGAGGGGUUAGAAUUUCAGGUGUAGCGGUGAAAUGCGUAGAGAUCUGAAGGAAUACCGAGUGGCGAAGGCGGUCCCCGUGGACAAAGACUGACGCUCAGAUGCGAAAGCGUGGG